ACUGGAGUGGAGAGGAGAGAGGGUGAGAACGAAUGGCGCAAACCCUGGGCCCCGCAGAGCCCAUGCCUCCCAGACCAGGCGCCUUUCUGCUUAUGCUGUUGUGGAUAGUGAAGGGAGGAAGGGGCUGAGCACCUCAGCUACUUCCCCUCCUCCCCCUCCUCCUCCUCCUCUUCUUCCUCCUCAGGACUCUGAUUCCUACAGGGAACCUAUACUGCUGCCUGGCACCAAGGCAGCCAGAAUUUAGAUAAGAAAAGUCCAUUGCGAUCUGGCCAGCGUUGGUUUAUAAACCAAGCAACUCUACUAUUAGUAGGUCCUGUACCCUAUAGAGGUCCGAGGGAAAUGUUUCUUUAGAUACAACGAAGCCCUUGCCCAAGAGAGAGAAUAACAAAAGUCUUCUAAAAGAAGAAUUAAGAAUCUUGGUUUUUCAUACCUGGGCAAUGAACAGUAUCAGAAUGUGUCUCAACCUCUAAACUCUGACAUAACACCGUGGAAGGCAGGGAUGAAAACCUGGUCUGGUAGGAGGGACGCCGGAGCCUAACAUGCUUCCUGUGUCCAGAAUGGAGCUGGACACCUAAGCCUGCCAGGACCAAGUGCACUGUUAAGAGAUUUGAGUGCAAAACAAAUCCAUAGGCAAGAAGGACCCCAACCACCCUUUACUUGUCAGCUGGUUUGCGGCCUCUCUUCCCUUACGGACAUCCUUAAAAUGCUGAUGGUCAACCCUGUCUUCCGAGAAUCUGGGCCACUUUUAAGAAAAUCUGAAAACCACCACCAUCAGACUGUUUUAGGCAGUUAGGAUUUUAAACUUUCUGAAAGUUCAUGAAUACACGAAUCUUAUAAAUUAAGCCAGUUCUUUGGCAAUCUUGUUUCAGUUCUAUUUUUGCCUAUCUAUUUUUAUACCUCCUCUCUGGGUAACUUCCUCUCUGGAGCCUGGUAUAGUAGCCAGAAUAUGCCGGGUUAGUAUGAGCUUUCCAAGUUUCUCCCAUUGUAUCAGUGGCCCUCCACCGAGACAUCCCCUUCCCUUCUCUUCGUCUCAGUGCUUCCAUUUGGCCCCACUCAGCAACACAUGCAAAGUUGUUCGGGGUCUGGGUCUCAAGACUUACCACCAGGAAAGCUUAGUUGAAGGGAAGAUAACCCGUUUGUUCUAAGGCCUGACUUAGUCCUAACAGAAACCCUGAGACAGAUAUCUCCAUCAUUCCCAUUUCACACAUAAGGAACUCCAGGUUUACAGAGAUUAAAGUUUCUUGUUCAAACACACAUGACCAGGCAGGGGCAGGAUCUGAACUCAGGCCUUUGACAAGCUAGGCCUGCCCAGGCCCAACUAGGAUAGAAAAGGGAGUAGGAGUGAAUGGGCUCUAGGACAGUCCUCUCACACCAGCCAGAGCCCACCCUACCUACUGAAGGCCUGGGCCCUCCAGACUCGGGUCACCGCAGCAAGUGCCAUCUGCCAUCUGCCUAGAUUCCUUGGACAGGGAAACUGAGGACACAACUGGCUGUGGCUGUGGAACCCCUUGAGUAAUCCCUUCCAGUAGUCGCACUGGCUCUGCUGCCCUGGGAUAGAAAGGCCCCCUCCCUGCCAGCUCUAGAAGCAGCCUGCUUGACCCAGGCCUGAGACCCAGCCCAGGGUAGGUGGCCAUGUGCAAGUUCCUGCUGUUUCUUUAAGCUGCCAUUUAUGAGGUGUUCACAGAUGGGCCAGGACCAGUGCCACUCAGUCUGCCCAGCCCUGUCCCCCUCACCGCUUCUCUCCGGUCAGAACCACUGAACCGCAGGCAGCUUAGUCAGGAGCACAAAAACGUCCCUGCCUCACUUCCUCUAUCACUUUCUCCUUUAGUUCAGUUUGUCGUUGCCAGGCUGUAUUUCACAUGACACACUCCGAAUCCUGGGGCGAUAAGUACGCUGAGCUCCUUGCUCCCAGACACUGUCCGCGGAGGUUAGAAAUAACCAGUCUGGCUGGGAACGGAGGACUUGCACCAGACGGCUGCCUCGGCCUCCACACGGGUGGUGAAUGCGGUACAUACCUUAGAAACCCGAGCACUCAUUUCCUGGAGCACCAACUCUUCCAAAGCCCUCGUGACCUUUCCAUUAACUGAGGACAGAACCUCUGCCCCAGGCUGUCAAGAAGAUGGGGUGGUGGGAGAGUCCCCGGGGCAGGGCAGGUGUGGAGGUAAAGGGACUUGCUCUGAGGAAGACCUCACAGUUCCUCACAGCUACCCCCUGUGGGGCCCAGAAGUGGCAUGUUUUACACCUGUACCUCCCAGAUGCCUCACCUACCUGAAGGGUCUGCUGCACGGCCUAGUCUGCCGGGGACACCACUGCUCCUCGCCUUCCGCUAGUCCCCAUCCCUGCCACCUAGUGAUGACUGCCUGAGAGCGCCGCCUCCACCUGGCUGGCCUGCCAGAAUGCAGCCCUGCUGCCCGAGUCCUGGGCCCUGACACCCCCCUGGGUACUCGAAGCCAGGGGGCCGCAUGUGCAUGGAAGUGACCAGCAGCAUUGGGUACAGCAGGGCUGAGGUGCAGAUGAUGCCAGUCUCAUACUCCCUACCCAGGCCACGUGGCCUUCCUGGCCAUGGUCUCUUCUGGCAUGCACGACCAAAAGGGCAGAACUAUGGCUAUGUAAGAAGUUAAAUUAUAGGAAGCUGGGCAAACAGUAUACAGAAACUGCCAUUUCUAUAACUCUUACGUAAGCCUUAAGUUAUCUGAGAAUGAAAGGUUUA